rnacentral:rRNA from 1 species
CAAUAGCGUAUAUUUAAGUUGCUGCAGUUAAAAAGCUCGUAGUUGGAUUUCGGGUGGGAAUGGCCGGUCCGCCGUUUCGGUGUGCACUUGCUACGCCCACCUUGCUGCCGGGGACGUGCUCUUGAGUUCACGCUCGGGACACGGAGUCGGCGAGGUUACUUUGAGUAAAUUAGAGUGUUCAAAGCAGGCCUACGCUCUGAAUACAUUAGCAUGGAAUAACACGAUAGGACUCUGGCCUAUCUUGUUGGUCUGUAGGACCGGAGUAAUGAUUAAGAGGGACAGUCGGGGGCAUUCGUAUUUCAUUGUCAGAGGUGAAAUUCUUGGAUUUAUGAAAGACGAACUACUGCGAAAGCAUUUGCCAAGGAUGUUUGCAUUAA